CUUUGGGAACCGACUUUGGAUCCCCGGUUAGCCCCUCCCCAAGUCACUGGGUGGCCUUUGGCCUUUACUUAGACUUCCUAAUAGUUUGUAUCCUCAUCUAAACUGAGAAAAGCCAGGGUCUGGGAAUGACACCUGACUGCCAGAGUGGCUCACCGGCCGCCUGGGCCUGACCCCCUGGAGCUCCAGCCAGGAUCAUAGGAAGCACUUGGAACAGGAUAUAAAGGCAGCACUUUCCACCCAGUCUGACAUCCUGCUUCCAGAUGCGAGACUCCAAGCCAGCACAAGGGCGGCCCCAAAGCAGCUGGGAGUGGGGAGCUCCAGGUUCCAGCUUGAAAAAUCCAAGUCUAGCAGCUUCCAGCUAGGCCGUCACUUUGCCCUCACUCUCUUUAACGGACCUCAAACGAUCAGAAUACUGUAUUACACUCUGUAGUGAUUCAUAUGGGAAGUGUCUCCCAUGGGCUCUGGCCUUAGAACAUUUGGUGUGGCGUCCACUUAGUGGUGCUGUUUGGGGGCGGCUGUAAAAUAGCCUGUUCUCAUACCUUUAUUUAGCUCCCUGAGGUCAGCACUGUCUGAUAUCACUAGCUGGAAAUAUCCAGGACUAAAAAAUUCAUUAGUGUCUUCGUUGACUAGAGUGUAUGAUUACCAUUGUUCUGAUAUUACUAUUAAAUAUUGUUAAUCUCC